AUUGAACGCUGGCGGCAGGCCUAACACAUGCAAGUCGAGCGGAGCGGCGGACGGGUGAGUAAUGCCUAGGAAUCUGCCUGGUAGUGGGGGGUAACGUACGGAAACGGGCGCUAAUACCGCAUACUAUCAGAUGAGCCUAGGUCGGAUUAGCUAGUUGUUGGGGUAAGGUCCUACCAAGGCGACGAUCCGUAACUGGUCUGAGAGGAUGAUCAGUCACCCGGGAACUGAGACACGGUCCAGUCUCCUACGGGAGGCAGCAGUGGGUAAUAUUGGACAAGUGGCGAAAGCCUGAUCCAGCCAUGCCGCGUGUGUGAAGAAGGUCUUCGGAUUGUAAUGCACUUUAAGUUGGGAGGCGUUACCAACAGAAUAAGCACCGGCUAACUUCGUGCCAGCAGCCGCGGUAAUAC
rnacentral:rRNA from 1 species